rnacentral:rRNA from 1 species
UUUUUAAUUGAGAUCUUGUAUGAAUGAUUGGACAAAAGAAAUACUGUCUUUGUUUUAAAUUUUGAAUUUAACUUUUAAGUGAAAAGGCUUAAAUAUUCUAAAGGGACGAUAAGACCCUAUAAAACUUUUACAUUAAUAUUUAUAUAUUAUUCAAUUUGUUUAUAACAAUUAUAUUUAAUUUUUUUGUUGUAUUGGGGAGAUAAAAGUUAUAAUUUAUAUUAACUGCUUAAGAGAAAAAUCAAUAAUAAAUGAAAAAGUAAUAGAUCCUUUUUUAAAGAUUAAAAGAUUAAGUUACUUUAGGGAUAACAGCGUUAUUUUUUUUGAGAGUUCAUAUCGAAAAAAACGAUUGCGACCUCGAUGUUGAAUUAAAAUAUCUUUAUAAUGUAGGUGUUAUAAGAGAAGGUCUGUUCGACCUUUAAUUUUUUAC